UAAAACACCAGAAGAAGAAGAGUUAGGAGUUGAGUGCUGUUUUGAAGGGGCUUGAUCGGCUGAGUGACACUGAAACUUGUAGCAAUGAUAGCUUCGACUCGGUCAGACAAGCUGCUUACGACGCUGGAGAAGAUCCUUCCUGAGUUUGAUCUAGACUCCAGUGUUGAAGAAUUGCUGCCAAGCACCAGCAAGGAGGUUGUUUGCCUACCCCCCACCUCCAAGACCCCCACACCUACUGCUGGUGAUACUGUGAGGCCACAGCCAAUUCCUGUGCUUGGUGCCAUCUAGAAACUGUUUUAGAAAAUGGCACACUGAUGGACACUCUUGAGAAAGAUUGCAACCGAUGAAAACUGUUGACAAAGCAACAAACAAAAACUAAAAG